rnacentral:tRNA from 1 species
GGAGGGUAUAGCUCAGUGGUAGAGUGCAUGCUUAGCAUGCAUGAGGUCCUGGGUUCAAUCCCCAGCGCCUCCG